rnacentral:rRNA from 1 species
GCUUAACACAUGCAAGUCGAACGGUGAAGCCCAGCUUGCUGGGUGGAUCAGUGGCGAACGGGUGAGUAACACGUGAGCAAUCUGCCCCUGACUCUGGGAUAAGCGCUGGAAACGGCGUCUAAUACUGGAUACGAACCGUGGAGGCAUCUUCAACGGUUGGAAAGAUUUUUUGGUCAGGGAUGAGCUCGCGGCCUAUCAGCUUGUUGGUGAGGUAAUGGCUCACCAAGGCAUCGACGGGUAGCCGGCCUGAGAGGGUGACCGGCCACACUGGGACUGAGACACGGCCCAGACUCCUACGGGAGGCAGCAGUGGGGAAUAUUGCACAAUGGGCGCAAGCCUGAUGCAGCAACGCCGCGUGAGGGAUGACGGCCUUCGGGUUGUAAACCUCUUUUAGCAGGGAAGAAGCGAAAGUGACGGUACCUGCAGAAAAAGCGCCGGCUAACUACGUGCCAGCAGCCGCGGUAAUACGUAGGGCGCAAGCGUUAUCCGGAAUUAUUGGGCGUAAAGAGCUCGUAGGCGGUUUGUCGCGUCUGCUGUGAAAUCCCGAGGCUCAACUUCGGGUCUGCAGUGGGUACGGGCAGACUAGAGUGCGGUAGGGGAGAUUGGAAUUCCUGGUGUAGCGGUGGAAUGCGCAGAUAUCAGGAGGAACACCGAUGGCGAAGGCAGAUCUCUGGGCCGUAACUGACGCUGAGGAGCGAAAGGGUGGGGAGCAAACAGGCUUAGAUACCCUGGUAGUCCACCCCGUAAACGUUGGGAACUAGUUGUGGGGUCCAUUCC